rnacentral:rRNA from 1 species
UACGUAGGGUGCAAGCGUUGUCCGGAAUUAUUGGGCGUAAAGAGCUCGUAGGCGGUCAGUCGCGUCUGCUGUGAAAACUCGGGGCUUAACUCCGGGCCUGCAGUGGGUACGGGCUGACUAGAGUGCGGUAGGGGAGACUGGAAUUCCUGGUGUAGCGGUGAAAUGCGCAGGAUAUCAGGAGGAACACCGGUGGCGAAGGCGGGUCUCUGGGCCGAUACUGACGCUGAGGAGCGAAAGCGUGGGGAGCGAACAGG